rnacentral:lncRNA from 1 species
UGUGGUGUGAGUGUCAAUGAGACAACUCUCCAUUCAAAUAACAAUUUAAAAAGUAAACCAUUAUAGGUUAAAGUACGGCCUUCAACAAGGAACCUUGGCUCACACCGAACAACAAGCUAUAAAGGGCCCCAAAAUUACUAGUGUAAAACCAUUCAAACGGGAAAACCAACGGUCUAAUCUAUAUAAACAAAACAAGAAACGAGAAACACGUAUAUAUUACAUAAACAAACGACAACUUCUGUACAUCAGAUUCCUGACUUAGGACAGGUGCAAACAUUUGCAGCGGGAUUAAACGUUUUAAUUGAUCCAAACCUUCUCCCUUUUUCUGAA